CCUACGGGAGGCUGCAGUGGGGAAUAUUGGACAAUGGGGGGAACCCUGAUCCAGCCAUGCCGCGUGUGUGAAGAAGGCCCUCGGGUUGUAAAGCACUUUCAGUGAGGAAGAACGCCUGGUGGUUAAGACCCAUCAGGAAAGACAUCACUCACAGAAGAAGCACCGGCUAACUCCGUGCCAGCAGCCGCGGUAAUACGGAGGGUGCGAGCGUUAAUCGGAAUUACUGGGCGUAAAGCGCGCGUAGGUGGCUUGAUAAGCCGGUUGUGAAAGCCCCGGGCUCAACCUGGGAACGGCAUCCGGAACUGUCAAGCUAGAGUGCAGGAGAGGAAGGUAGAAUUCCCGGUGUAGCGGUGAAAUGCGUAGAGAUCGGGAGGAAUACCAGUGGCGAAGGCGGCCUUCUGGACUGACACUGACACUGAGGUGCGAAAGCGUGGGUAGCAAACAGGAUUAGAUACCCUGGUAGUC
rnacentral:rRNA from 1 species